GAUGAACGCUAGCGGCAGGCCUAACACAUGCAAGUCGAGGGGUAGAAUUAGCUUGCUAAUUUGAGACCGGCGCACGGGUGCGUAACGCGUAUGCAAUCUGCCUUGUACUGAGGGAUAGCCCAGAGAAAUUUGGAUUAAUACCUCAUAGUAUUAUGAUGUGGCAUCACAUUAUAAUUAAAGUUCCAACGGUACAAGAUGAGCAUGCGUCCCAUUAGUUAGUUGGUAAGGUAACGGCUUACCAAGACGAUGAUGGGUAGGGGUCCUGAGAGGGAGAUCCCCCACACUGGUACUGAGACACGGACCAGACUCCUACGGGAGGCAGCAGUGAGGAAUAUUGGUCAAUGGGCGCAAGCCUGAACCAGCCAUGCCGCGUGCAGGAUGACGGUCCUAUGGAUUGUAAACUGCUUUUAUACGGGAAGAAACACUGCUACGUGUAGCAGCUUGACGGUACCGUAGGAAUAAGGAUCGGCUAACUCCGUGCCAGCCGCCGCAGUAAUAC
rnacentral:rRNA from 1 species